AGAUUUAAAAGUAUAUAAUAAUAUAUCAUUUUCUACA
rnacentral:tRNA from 1 species